UACGUAGGGUGCAAGCGUUGUCCGGAAUUAUUGGGCGUAAAGAGCUCGUAGGCGGUUUGUCGCGUCGAAUGUGAAACCCCGGGGCUCAACUCCGGGCCUGCAUUCGAUACGGGCAGACUAGAGUUCGGUAGGGGAGUCUGGAAUUCCUGGUGUAGCGGUGAAAUGCGCAGAUAUCAGGAGGAACACCAAUGGCGAAGGCAGCUCGCUGGAACGGAACUGACGCUGAGGCGCGAAAGCGUGGGGAGCGAACAGG
rnacentral:rRNA from 1 species